rnacentral:rRNA from 1 species
AGCGAACGCUGGCGGCAGGCCUAAUACAUGCAAGUCGAGCGCCCCUUCGGGGGAGCGGCGGACGGGUGAGUAACGCGUGGGAAUAUGCCCUUUGGUACGGAACAACUGAGGGAAACUUCAGCUAAUACCGUAUGUGCCCUUCGGGGGAAAGAUUUAUCGCCAUUGGAGUAGCCCGCGUUGGAUUAGCUAGUUGGUGGGGUAAAGGCCCACCAAGGCGACGAUCCAUAGCUGGUCUGAGAGGAUGAUCAGCCACACUGGGACUGAGACACGGCCCAGACUCCUACGGGAGGCAGCAGUAGGGAAUCUUGCGCAAUGGGCGAAAGCCUGACGCAGCCAUGCCGCGUGAAUGAUGAAGGUCUUAGGAUUGUAAAAUUCUUUCACCGGGGAAGAUAAUGACGGUACCCGGAGAAGAAGCCCCGGCUAACUUCGUGCCAGCCGCCGCGGUAAGAC